rnacentral:rRNA from 1 species
UUGACCUCAAAUCGGGUGAGACUACCCGCUGAACUUAAGCAUAUCAAUAAGCGGAGGAAAAGAAACUAACAAGGAUUCCCCUAGUAACUGCGAGUGAAGCGGGAAAAGCUCAAAUUUAAAAUCUGGUGGUCUUUGGCCAUCCGAGUUGUA